rnacentral:rRNA from 1 species
GACGAACGCUGGCGGCGUGCCUAAUACAUGCAAGUAGGACGCAGUUGCGACCGGGUGAGUAACGCGUAGGUAACUACCUAUUAGAGGGGGAUAACUCUUGGACACGAUAGCUAAUACCGCAUACUAGUAGAUGGACCUGCGUUGUAUUAGCUAGUAGGUAGGGUAAUGGCCUACCUAGGCAACGAUCCAUAGCCGACCGGAGAGGGGGAUCGGCCAAACGGGGACUGAGAAAAGGCCCAGAAUCCUAAGGGAGGCAGCAGUAGGGAAUCUUCGGCAAUGGGGGGAACGCUGACCGAGCAACGCCGCGUGAGGGAAGAAGGUUUUCGGAUCGUAAAGCGCUGGUGUUAAGGAAGCGGUACUUAACCAGAAAGGGACGGCUAACUACGUGCCAGCAGCCGCGGUAAUUC